AGCGAACGCUGGCGGCAGGCUUAACACAUGCAAGUCGAGCGGGCGUAGCAAUACGUCAGCGGCAGACGGGUGAGUAACGCGUGGGAACGUACCUUUUGGUUCGGAACAACACAGGGAAACUUGUGCUAAUACCGGAUAAGCCCUUACGGGGAAAGAUUUAUCGCCGAAAGAUCGGCCCGCGUCUGAUUAGCUAGUUGGUGUGGUAACGGCGCACCAAGGCGACGAUCAGUAGCUGGCUGAGAGGAUGAUCAGCCACAUUGGGACUGAGACACGGCCCAAACUCCUACGGGAGGCAGCAGUGGGGAAUAUUGGACAAUGGACGCAAGCCUGAUCCAGCCAUGCCGCGUGAGUGAUGAAGGCCCUAGGGUUGUAAAGC
rnacentral:rRNA from 1 species